rnacentral:tRNA from 1 species
UGUGUGUUAGCUUAAUAGGUAGAGCUUUGUGUUACGGACAAGAACACAAGUUCGAGUCUUGUACGCGCUU